UCCGGUUUAUCACCGGCAGCCUCCUUAGAGUUCCCGACAUUACUCGCUGGCAACUAAGGAUAAGGGUUGCGCUCGUUACGGGACUUAACCCAACAUCUCACGACACGAGCUGACGACAGCCAUGCAGCACCUGUGUUACCGCUCCCUUUCGGGCUCACCCACCUCUCAGCGGGCUUCGGUACAUGUCAAGGGUAGGUAGGGUUUUUCGCGUUGCAUCGAAUUAAUCCACAUAAUCCACCGCUUGUGCGGGUCCCCGUCAAUUCCUUUGAGUUUUAAUCUUGCGACCGUACUCCCCAGGCGGGAUGCUUAAUGCGUUAGCUGCGCCACUGACGAGUAAACCCGCCAACGGCUAGCAUCCAUCGUUUACGGCGUGGACUAC
rnacentral:misc_RNA from 1 species